AGGGGGAACGGCGAGGUGGACGCGCGCGCCAUGCUCGGCUGUCUCCGCCUCCUUCCGGGCAGCCAAUCACUGGAGAGACGCUGGGCGCGGGCGCGCUCCCUCGGGUAACGGUCGCGAGAGGCCGCUUGCCUGACCGUGACAUCGGCAGCGGGAGCGGCGGCCAGACUCUCUUGGAAGUUUAGGAUAUUUCACAGUUCUGAAUGUUAGCCACUGAAAAUGCCAGUAGAUGAUGAAGCCUCUGAAGAUGACACGGAUUCACUUUCCUCAAACAGCCCAAGAACCUUUAUUUUCCAAUAAGAGAAUAUAACAAUUUCUGUACACUAUGGAAGAGUUUGACUUGGUGAAAACCUUACACAAAACUUCAUCUUCUGUAGGAUCUGAUGAAAAUUCUCUUCAUUCUCUUGGACUGAACUUAAAUACUGAUAGACCAGGUGGUUACAGCUAUUCAAUUUGGUGGAAAAACAAUGCCAAGAACAGAUAGUUGCCCAGCAGGAGCAGUUUCACAACCAAAUUCAACAUAUACAGGAGGAGAUAAAAAAUUUAGUCAAAUUACAGACUAGUAGUGCUUCCUUGGCUUCCUGUGAAGGAAAUUCUUCAAACAAACAAGUAUCUUCGGAAAGUCAAAUGGGUUUUUUUUCUCUAAGCAGUGAGAGAAAUGAAUCUGUUAUCCAUUAUCCUGAAUCCACAGAACUUGAAAUACAGCAAGAAAUGUCCACGUCACAACCAGACUGCAAUGUGGAUAGUUGC
rnacentral:sRNA from 1 species